GUAGGGUGCGAGCGUUAAUCGGAAUUACUGGGCGUAAAGUGUGCGCAGGCGGCCGAGCAAGUCGAGUGUGAAAGCCCCGAGCUUAACUUGGGAACUGCGCUCGAAACUACUUGGCUAGAGUGUGGCAGAGGGAGGUGGAAUUCCACGUGUAGCGGUGAAAUGCGUAGAGAUGUGGAGGAACACCGAUGGCGAAGGCAGCCUCCUGGGCCAACACUGACGCUCAUGCACGAAAGCGUGGGGAGCAAACAGGAUUAGAUACCCUGGUAGUCCACGCCCUAAACGAUGAUGACUAGUUGUUGGAGGAGUUAAAUCCUUUAGUAACGCAGCUAACGCGUGAAGUCAUCCGCCUGGGGAGUACGGUCGCAA
rnacentral:rRNA from 1 species